rnacentral:lncRNA from 1 species
AGGCUCAACACAGAUGGUCAUAGCCACAUUAUGCAUGGUAUAUUCAUGAGUUUCUUCUUCACAAGACAACAGGAUGGUCUACUCGUAUAUACAGCCUGGAUCCAUAUCCAGACAACGUUGGAAGAAAAAGAUGACCCUAAAGGUCGUAUGUUUCUUUUUUAUAGACCAUUAUUGUUGUGACAGAAUGGAAAGGAAAUCAGAGAGAAUGAGAGCAAGAGGGGAUGAGUUCCCUGCUGAACAGCAGCAUGAGAGAUUCUGGGAAGACUCUAUGUCUUGAUGUGGGGUCCACUAGCGGCAUCCUGCUGUGGUGCAUGCUAUGGUAUAGUUUCCAUUUGAGUGUGUUCUUCACGUUUGCAUGCAUGUGUGCAUAGGAGCAGGUGCACGUGUAGGCAUGGGUAUGCAGAGGCCAGAGAUAAAUUAUUCUUCAACAGUUCACCACCUCCCUUUUUUUCUGUUUUGAGACCCAUCUCUCACUAACCAGGAGCUCACGGAUUUAGCUAGACCCGCUGGCCAGUGGGUCUCAGGCAUGUGAUGGCUCCACCUCCAGCCCAGGAGCUGUGUGCCACUGUGCCCAGCUGUUUGCAUGAGCGCUUGGCAUCUGACUCAGGCAUGAUACCUACUGAGCCACCAUCGCAGCCUUUCACACGACGUCUCCCAGCCUGUGAUGCAUGCUCAGAAGCAUCAAGCAGAAGCAAAUACCUUCUUCCAGGAUCAAUGCAGAUUUGUCUCCAAGAACCCAAGCAGUCAUGGACGGGCAGAGGAACUGAAGAAUAGGAAUGUUAGAAUUUCCAAGUGGGAAAAAGACGUUAAACAUUUGGAGGAUGGUCUGUGUUGCGUCUUCCAGGGAUGGGCAAAGGGCACGUAUGCUAGUUAUCUUUGCACUGCUGUGACCAAAAUACCGAACACAAAGAAUUUAAAGGGAAAGCAUUCAUUUUGGCUUAUGGUUUCAACUCACCAUGUCAGGGAUGGCAUAUCAGUAAAAAUGUAUGAUAGAGGACAUGUAUUCACAUAACAGCAAACCAGAAGCCGGGGCUGGGCUAUAACCAAUACCUACUUCUCAUACCUAAGUGUGUCUCUGAAGCACACAUGCUGCUCUGGCCACUUCCUGUAUCUUUUUCUCCUGUAUCUUCCUGUAUCUCUGCCUCCUGGCUGCUAUGAUGUGAACUGCUGUCUUCUGGCACAUCCUCCCUGCCAUGGUGAACUGAUCCCUUGAGACCAUGAGCCAAGUUAAUGCAAGCUGUCCCUGUGUCAUAUUCAGUUACGGACAUCUGGAAGCUGGACCUGACGGUGCACACCAUUAAUCAAUCUCAAAGCAGUGAGUUCAAGAUCAGGGUAGUCUGCAUGGUAAGUUACAGGGCAGCUAUAAUAAACGAGAUCAUGAGGCCCUGUCUUUACAAAGGAAAGAAAAUACCGAUAACACAUCCUCAGUGCUGAGAGGCUCUGCCCAUAGCUCAGAGGAAAAAUACUACACAGGGGACCUAAGAAGAAUGCUGAGUCGGAUGCAUUGGGGUUUUCACACCCAGGCCAUGAACAUGAGAUGACAUCAUUUUUAGCCACUCAUAUUUGAACAUGGCUGUCCAGGCCUCAAUCAUAAUCAUGGAGUGAGAUCUCUAUAAAAGUACCAAAAGUAGGCUGGAAGAUAGUUCAAUCAAUAAACCUCUUACAAUCAUAAAGACCUGAGUUUGAUCCCCAAAACACACACACACACACACAACGCAAGGUAUGAUGGUAUAUGAUUGUAAUUCCAGUGCUGGGUAGGCAAAAGCAGGCAGAUCUGUGAGGUUUAUUAGCCAACUAAUCUAGCCAAGUUGGUGAGUUCCAGGCCAAAGAGAGACGCUGCCUCAAAAAAAGAAAUGAAUUGCAGC